CCUGGUUAAUUCUGCUAGUAGUUAUAUACUUAUCUUAAAGAUUAAGCUAUAUAUAUCUAAGUAUAAGUAAUUAUAAAGCAAAACUACGAAUAGCUUAUUAUAUAAGUUAUUGUUUAUUUAAUAGUACCUUACUAUAUAGAUAACUAUAGUAAUUCUAGAGCUAAUAUAUACUAAAAAUCCUGACUCCGGAAGGGAUAUGUUUAUUAGAUUUAAAACUAAUACCCUUUAGGGCUUUAAUAAUAAUUUAUAAUAACUUCUUGAAUCGUAUAGCCCCGCGCCGGCGAUAGUUUAUUUAAAUUUCUUCCUUAUUAACUUUCGAUACUACGGUAGUAUCCUAGCAUAGUUAUAACGGGUAACGGAGGGUUAGGGCUUGACCCCGGAGAAGGAGCCUAAGAAACGGCUACUAUAUCUAAGGAAGGCAGUAGGCGCGUAAAUUACCUAAUCCUAACACGGGGAGGUAAUAAUAAUAAAUACCGAUAUAGGGCUUAUUUAGGUCUUAUAAUUAGAAUAAGUAUAAUUUAAAUCCCUUAAUAAGGAAUAAUUAAAGGGUAAGUCUAGUACCAGUAGCCGCGGUAAUUCUAGCUCUAAUAGCGUAUAUUAAAGUUAUUAUAGUUAAAAAGCUCGUAAUAGAAACUCGGGCUCCGGUUAACCGGUCCGCCUUACCGCGUACACUGGUUCGGCUAGGCCUUCACCUUUUACGGAACCGUAUCCCCUUUACUAGGGGUAUCGGGGAAACAGGACGUUUACUUUAAAAAAAUUAAAGUGCUCUAGGCAGGCCUAUACUCGAAUAGAUUAGCAUAGAAUAAUAGAAUAGGACGCGUAGUCUUAUUUUAUUAGUUUCUAGGACCGCCAUAAUAAUUAAUAGGGACAGUCAGGGGCAUCAGUAUUCAAUCGUUAAAGGUGAAAUUCUUAGAUCGAUUAAAGACUAACUACUACGAAAGCAUUUACUAAGGAUGUUUUUAUUUAUUAGGAACGAAAGUUAUAAUAAGAAGCUGUGAUUAACCGAACCGAGCUAUAGAGAUACGAUAGAUUGCCUUGAUUCCACACCUUAGGCUCGUAGGAGGCUAAGCUAUAUAUAGGCUGUGCCUCGGCUAAAUACAACCAAUAGGAAUCCCCUUCCAGUAGCCUAUUUUAUCCAUAAGCCACACCAGCUCUAGUGGCUAAUAGCCCAGGAGCUCGGAGUCCUAAAUCCGCGCUGCGUAGCCGUACCAGUGUAACUAUAUUUAUAUAACCUAUUUAGUUAUAUAACACACCCCCUAUUUCGAGCUAUUUAUUUAAAAACACUCGGAAUAUACCCAGGCUAGAAUCAUACUAUAGUUAAAAUAGCUUUAAAGAGCCGUUUAAUAGAAAACUAUAAGGGAAAACAGGUUUAAAAGAGAUAUAAAAAUAAUAUAAAAGAAAUAAAAAGGGAUAAUUAGAAUAAAGCAAAUAGGUAGCCUAGAAUAGUAACCUAAGAGUAAUAUAAGCUAGAGGUUAGUAGGCGGCUCGCUAUAUAUAAUUUUUAUAGCCCGGCGGCCGAAAUCGAGUUCUUUUAGUUAAAUAACCUUCUUGUUAACGAUUUUUAACGGUUUUUAACGAUAUUUCUUUAUUUUUUUACUUCCCCAGCUCUUAUUUUUUCAUUCUAUUCUCUCGCUAUAAUAAGCCGAGCUCGAAAAUAGUUAGAAAAGCUGUGUAAGUGCUAACAGGGAUAGGCUCCUAAGAAGAAUAAUGCCCCGGCUAAAAAGGCUACUAAGA
rnacentral:rRNA from 1 species